rnacentral:lncRNA from 1 species
ACCUAUUGAUAUUCACUCCAUCACAGGACUUGGAACAGUUUUGCUAGCAGAAAAUACGACUCUCUUCUAUGCUGUGGUAAAAUAGUACAACCACAAGGCCAGGAUCCAUAGAAUGUGACCAGCUGUUUCAGUGGUUUUCUGUUACUAUUUGUGAAGUCUUCAUUCUUGUCAUCUCUAGCAGAAGAGUGGUGCCAGUUGCCAGAGGUUUGAGGAAAAAGAAGUCAUGGGAGAAUUUACAUUUCAGAAAAUUCCAUUCAUUGACUUAAUUAUUUCUGGGAAUUCAGAAAAGACCACCAUGAUCCUUUAGCCGCGAAAACACUUGGGCCAGUUUUGGAAAUGCUAGAAUCCUGCAGGAGAAGCUUUUGAGAAAUUCAGUACUGUGCAGUGUUGUAACCCGAAUACUUUGCUGGAGAAAGGGUUACUGAGAGAUCAUAUUCACAAAUCAACGUGCAAUAGUGAAAAAAGAUGGCAACACUGAAGAACCUUACUGAAUAACCCACGAAGGUCAUAUGAUAGCUGCUUAAUAAAAUUUGCUGAUCGAAUGAAGGAGCUAAUGAAUUCAAUAAAAUCAGGGAAGGCUUCUUGGAGGAGGAGCACCUUGCUCCAGUGGGCUGAGAAGACAUUCCAUGAGACCAGAGCAAGGAGAGGAGUGGCCUGGCAGCUGAAGCCAGAGACAGACUUGAACCUGGAGUUUACCUUUUUGAGAGUUAAAUCUGUGUGGAGGAGGAAAGGAGGAGAGACUAGAAGCGGAGAGGCCCUUUGGAGGCUCUGGUUCAGGCAAAAAAGGAUGGGCUGUGAAUUCCUGCAUUUAUCUACCUUUGUUUUCCUGUGUAGACACAAGGCUGCCUGGCCUCUCAGAGAAUCUUCACAUCAAACCUAGGAGAAAGGUACUAUUAUCAUCUCUAAGUUACAAAAAUGGGAACUGAGCCACCAAAUGGCUAAGUGGUUUGCCUAAGAACACAGCGCUGGGCAGACAGAGGAACCAGGGGACUUAGGCCUUGCCAAGGAGGUGACAGUUGGACUGGCCUGGAGGGACUGGCCUGGAAAGAACAGCUACAGUAUGGCCACAGGGUUCCGGGAUGGCCAAGGAGGCCCAUCUCACCAGACCUGGCCCUGAGAAACUUCACCAGCAAGGCUUUCAAAUCGGGUGCGUGAUUGCUACGACGUGAGUUCCCUUCCAGUAGGGCCUGCAGCUGCUCUGUCCUCCUGGAUGGAGAAUCUGACUCCAACUCAGCUUCCCAAACCACACACAAUUCCAAGAUGAGACUGGUCUUCCUCUGGGGGACCAAGGAGAAAUGUGGUAAUUUAGACUCUCAAAGACUCUUCCUAAAAAGCUGGGCUGUUAAGGAAUCCACUCCAAGCGAUCACCAUCUGUGGCAGGCAGCUGGUGGAAUAGACAGAACUGUUUUGACAUCAGAUGAACUAGAAUUUGAAUACUGGUUUAGUCCUGUCUAGCUGUAGGGAUUUGAAGGGAAAUACAGUUUUUCUUUCGGAAAACCAGGACAAUAAUAUUGUACUAGAUUUGUGAGGUUAAAGAUAUAGAAGGUAUAGACAGCUAGGAGGUGUUGGGAGAUUGGGGCUUCUAUUCUUUGUUUUGCAUUAUUAUUCUUAGCAAAGCCACUUACAGGGUGUCUGAAGAAGCAUCCCUUUCUUUGGCUCCAGAGUGUGAGUAGAGUUUAUUAGGGUCCCCCUGGCUUUUGGGUCCACCCAGUUUCUUCUGCAGACAAUGUUUGGACUGAACUUCACUCUCUGUACAAUGAGGAAACCUGUUUUAAAGGCCUCACUUGUCAAAAAAACAGCCAUAAAACAGACUUAAUGAGACUUCUGGAUACAGCCAGGCCCAUGUGAUUGGCUGCUCCAGGGCAGGCAAGGCUGGAAUUCAGGGCUCUGAACGUGCUGGCCGGCUGCGCUCCAGCCCCGGUCUGUGCUGGUGGUGUUCCGUGUGCUCUGUCCGCCUCUCCUUUAACUUCCCUGAUAAAAUGCUUACUUGGAUAUUGUUCUGAGAUGAUUGAUUGUUAAAUGCCCUGCAAAUACAAAACUAGGCUGCUAAGUCACACUCGAGAGAAGUCCAGGAAAUCCUCUAGUUGAAUGUUACAGCCGGCUUCUCCUGAAUAGAGGCACAGCAGCAGAUUUCACCUAGCCAACCCGUUUGCUUUUUAAAUGGGGAGACCGAGGCCCUGAAAGGGGAAAGCACUUACAUAAUAUGUAUGUUUUAUUACAACUAAAAAAAAAAAAGACAGAGAGAAAGACGAAUAGACAAGGCCCUCGUAGACCAGGAGGAUGGCAGACUCACUGGAUUCAUGCUGGGUGGGGGGCCUCUCUAAGCUCUUUCCCCCACUCUACCUUUCUGCUCCUUCUCCUUUAUUCCCCAUAGAUAGAGAGCAGUUUUUCCUCCUAGUACCAAAUGUGGAUGGUGGCAUAUUCUUUCCCUUUUACAGAAAUAUUAAAUCCCCCCAGGUCACACAGCUGUGUUGUCUGGGUGGUGGCUGAACCAGGAUUCCAUCUCAGGUGUGUCUGAUGGCCAUCACGAUACCACUGUAAAGCUGAGCUCAUUGACUAACGCUUAGGAAGUGGAGGGCCUUACAUUCUAGAUUCCAACCUUCGCCUACAACAAAGGAAACUGCCGGUAUUUUCCCAUUGCUAGUGACCUCUGCUUUCUUGUGACCAACAAGUAAGCAAGUCAAGUCCAUUUGUUAAGCUCUGUGACUCUUUUCAUUGUUAGGAAAAUUUGGACUUCAAAGUGAGGGAGUUUUGGGGGAUGCUUGGCCUCUUUGGGACCGAGAGGGUGAGGACAGCUGUUUUCUUGUUCAAUUGGCAGCCCUGGAUUAAAUUUCUAAUUUUCUUCCUCACCUAUUUCCUCCCUGUUUCCUAUAAGCUUAGCCCUUUUCCUGGCACAUAGUAGGUGUUCAAUAAAUAU